AUGAGAUGUGUUCAUUUUCGUUUUCCAUUGUGUGCACUAAUGUACACUUCCCUGAUGAGUGGUUUGCACAUGGUCUUAGUGUGGGAUUAUGGGCGAGUGCUCAGCUAUCGCACUUCAUUUCCUGUUGGACUUGGAGGUCCAUUCAGGGGACUAGAGAGUCUGUCAGCGAGAGUGUCUGUGUAUCUGUCAGUCAGUACGGGCCACAACUCAGGGGCUCACAGAGUUUUGAGAGUGUCUGUGUAUCUGUCAGUCAGUACGGGCCACAACUCAGGGGCUCACAGAGUUUUGAGGUGUCUGGAAAUUGAGGUAUUGUCCUCAUCUGCCCUGUCCCUCUAUUCUGUCCUCUUUUCUCUUCUCUUCUCUCUUUCCUUGUCUUUCACGCAUCUCUCUGUUUCCUCUCAUAUUUCUCCUCUCUCUUUCUCUCGCUCACUUUCUGUAAAUGUAACAUACACACAAGAUAAUGGAACAAUAAUCACAUUUUAUGGUGUACAAAUGACUAGGUAUCCCCCUUUCCCGGUAUCCUAUUUCCUAUUCAUUGUCUACUUGACACUCCCAAUGAAAUGUGUCCUAUCAUGCUGCUGGUUAGCUAAUUUACAAAGAUGCUCUUUCUAAGUGGAGCUGGUUAUUUUUACCUCUUAAAUGCAACAAAGAUGCCCUCACCUAUCUUUUUAUCCCAUAGGAGCACUCUUAAAUGUCCUUCCUCAUUUGUAGACACAGUAUAAAAUGCUAGAACAAUCCAGGUUUCACCUUCUCCAACCCACACUCACCAUCCUAAAGCAUUGGAAUAGCUCUCUCACUUAUUUCAAAUAGCUGUUGCAUCCUUUACUGUACAAUAAUACAGUAAUAAUACCUGUAAGACAAACAAGCUGUUGAUCAGGAAUGUACCACUAUGCUCCAUAGUGGUGGAACUACUCUGAUCAGGAAUGUACCACUAUGCUCCAUAGUGGUGGAACUACUCUGAUCAGGAAUGUACCACUAUGCUCCAUAGUGGUGAACUACUCUGAUCAGGAAUGUACCACUAUGCUCCAUAGUGGUGGAACUACUCUGAUCAGGAAUGUACCACUAUGCUCCAUAGUGGUGGAACUACUCUGAUCAGGAAUGUACCACUAUGCUCCAUAGUGGGUGGAACUACUCUCCCAGUGCAAGACCUCUUAAGUCAGCCUUGGUAUACAUGAUUUGUUUUUAAAGUGGAAUCGUACAUGGCAUCACAAUUUCAUCCAGCAAAUGCAGCUUUAUUUGUGCAUAAAACCUUCUCUCUACUCUGUGAUCAGUGCCUGGCUGUCUGUUAUUCAUGGUUUUCCUCAUUUAUGGAGGCACAUUCAUGCCAAAAAUAAAGAAGCAUUGAUAUUGACAAAUUAUUCAUCAGUAUUAGUUUUAUUUCAAUAUAUUUUUGUUGUGCCAAGAAUCUGCUUCCAUAGCACAUAGCCCUGUUUCCCUGAUUAGUUUCUCCUAGCCUCGUCUCAGCAGACUGCUUAUAGAGAUGACCAGGAGACAGCAAAUAAAACAAUCAGAAAUCUAGACAGAAUUUGGUUACUGGUUAUUUAUCAAGGUUGUAUAUACUUAAAUGUAUAGUGGAUUUAUCUGUUUUUUCAUGUUAUUUCUUGAGUUUUAAUGUAGCAAUAUGAUGUUAUUAUUAGCCCAUUUUGUUUUUGUUUCGUAGUGUUUGAUUUGAGGUUUCUAUCAUUGCCAUGUAAUCAAAAGCUGAAAUAAAGUAAAGACAAACUUGUCACUACGGCUGACUGACUGAGUGUGUACUAGAUGGCCAUUCUGGAAUUCAUUCAAAAUAUCAAAUGUUUGUCUUUAAUAAUAGCUCAUACAACAAUCACAUUAAAAACCGUUUGUUUAACUUUUUUUUGUUGCAUUAUAAUUAUGACAUUUUCCUUUUAAGGCCUUGUUCUUAAUCUACGAACAAAACCAAGGGAAUUGGACGGAUGUAGAUUUUUUCUCCAGGUUCUUAUUGAACAGACCCACUAGAGGGCAGCACACUAUCAGUACAUGUGCUGUAGAGGAGAGAGCGGAACAAUAAGUCAUACUGUCAUAACGUCCACAUAGAGACAGCCUAUUACCUCAGCUGUGAAGCCUAUUGGCCUGUGACUAAAUAACAAGCAGUAGCUGGAGAACAGAAAAAUACUGCCAACUGUUUGGUCAUCAUUACUUCCUUUAGCUCACUUGUCCUUGAGCCUAUUAUUUUCAUAAACUAACAUUCAUAGCCUUUACACUGGCACAGACUGACUGAGAAAUAUCAAUAUUUACAAGUGAAUGUGUAUCAUAUUAAAUGAUGCCUGGAAAUGGAAACUGAAUCAAUAAAAAUGACUCUUUGCAAUGGAAUGGUGGCUGCUGGAAACAGCAGGGAAUUAAUGGCAUUGUGAUGGUAGAAUGUAGAAAACAGCACUACAAACUAACAAAAACACUGGUUGUCUCCGAGUAGGAGUAGCAGACUAUUCAGGUAGAAGCUGCACGUCAUAUGUUGUGGAUUCAAUGCAAACAUUGUAUUCUGGAACUCUUGUAAAAUACCCUUAUUUUAACUGCCCCCAAAAUGUAUAUGUUCUGCUUGAAUCCUGCAACAGCCCUGGA
rnacentral:lncRNA from 13 species